UACAGAGGGGGCAAGCGUUGUUCGGAAUUACUGGGCGUAAAGGGCGCGUAGGCGGCCCGCUAAGUCGAACGUGAAAUCCCUGGGCUCAACCCAGGAACUGCGUCCGAUACUGGCAGGCUUGAAUCCGGGAGAGGGAUGCGGAAUUCCAGGUGUAGCGGUGAAAUGCGUGGAUAUCUGGAGGAACACCGGUGGCGAAGGCGGCAUCCUGGACCGGCAUUGACGCUGAGGCGCGAAAGCCAGGGGAGCGAACGGG
rnacentral:rRNA from 1 species